rnacentral:rRNA from 1 species
UACGAAGGGGGCUAGCGUUGCUCGGAAUCACUGGGCGUAAAGGGCGCGUAGGUGGUGGCUUAAGCGUGCGGUGAAAGCUCGGGGCUUAACUCCGAGUCGGCCGUGCGAACUGGGCUCACUGGAGCAUAGUAGAGGCAGGUGGAAUUCCGGGUGUAGCGGUGGAAUGCGUAGAGAUCCGGAGGAAGACCGGUGGCGAAGGCGGCCUGCUGGGCAGUUACUGACACUGAGGCGCGACAGCGUGGGGAGCAAACAGG